rnacentral:rRNA from 1 species
CGGAACGGGUGAGUAACACGUGAGUAACCUGCCCUUCACUUCUGGAUAACCGCUUGAAAGGGUGGCUAAUACGGGAUGUUUCUGGGUCUGUCGCAUGGCGGGUUCGGGAAAGACGGCACUGUUUGGUGUUUUUGGUGGGGGAUGGGCUCGCGGCCUAUCAGCUUGUUGGUGGGGUGAUGGCCUGCCAAGGCUUUGACGGGUAGCCGGCCUGAGAGGGUGGGCGGUCACACUGGGACUGAGAUACGGCCCAG